ensembl:lncRNA
UCAGUAGGUGUCCAGAGGAGUAUAUGCAUUGUGUAUUGAAAUUGCAAAGUGGGUGGUCAGUCAAGCACAUUGACCAUUAAUCCCCAUACUUUAUGUUACAUUGGUCUUCAGUUGCAUAAUGUCACUCUACUAGCCAAUAUUCAUGCAAUGGAGGACCAACAAGUGUCCCGCUAAACUAUAGCUAAAUCCCAUGGAGUCAAUGGUUUUCCAAUAUUAUUUAGUAACAGUAUUGCUAAGUGUGUGUGUGUGUGUGUGUGUGUAUGUAUAUGUAUGUAUAACGGCGCUCCAUGUAGUCAUGCCAGCCACAUGACCUUGGAGAUGUCUAUGGACAAUGCCAGCUCUUUGGCUUAGAAAUGGAGAUGAGCACCCCAGAGUCAGACACGACUGGACUUAACGUCAGGGGAAACCUUUACCUUUUAUAUAUAUAUAUAUAUAUAUAUAUAUAUAUAUAUAUAUAUAUAUAUUAGCUGUGCCCAGCCACGCAUUGCUGUGGCGAAGUAUGGUGGUAUGGGAAAUAAAGUAUUGAGUAAUUGGUGGUAGUUAAGGUAAAGGGUAAAGGUGUGGAGUCCAGAUAAUCCAGUUAAAGCAGAUAAUAUAAGAUUAUAAAUGGGUUAUAUAGCUGUGUGGAAGGGCCUUGAGUCUACACUGCCAUCUAAUCCAGUUAAAAUCUGAUAAUUUGUAUUUUAUAGGCAGUGUGGAAGAGGCCUAAGUGAGGCCUAACUCUGCCUGUCCCCUGGGUGAGUGGGUUGCUAGGAGACCAAGUGGGCAGAGCUUAGCCUUCUAACUGGCAACAAUUGGAUAAAAACAAUUAUUCCUCUCCCUCUAAUUAGGACUUUAUUUUUUGUUGUUGUAUCAACCUAGAGGCGUGGAUGAUGGGUUGUGUUGUCAAUUUUCGAGGUUGUGGGGUGUUUAGUUUUGUUGUUUUGGCGGAGCUUAGCCUUCUAACUGGCAGCAAUUGGAUAAAAGCAAUUAUUCCUCUCUCUCUCAUUAGGACUUUAUUUUUCUUUUCUUUUUGUUGUAUCAACCUAGAGGCGUGGAUGAUGGGUUGUGUUGUCAAAUUUCGAGGUUGGGGGGCCUGUAGUUUUGUUGUUUUGUGGGUCGCCGUGAUGCCAUCACUCUUUUAUAUAUAUAGAUAUUGCGCAAGAUUUAUCUAGCCUAAAAUUAUACAUUUUAAUAUAUUGGGUUUAUGGUCCCCGUCCCCUUGAUCAGGUUGUGUAAGUGUUAUUUAUUGCUAUAUAAUUGUAUUGUUUUACUUUUCUUAAUAAUGUGUUAUUAUGUUGCUAUGUAACGUAUGUGUUGUUUUUAUGAUUGGAAACCGCACUGAGUCCCAUCUGGGAGAUAGGGCGGUAUAUAAAUAAAGUUUUAUUAUUAUUAUUAUUAUUAUAAUGGGACGCAAAAAGGAAGACAUUGCAAGACAAGGAGUCCUGUAAGGAAAGAUUGAGAGGCUUAUCGCAGCUCACCACACCCAAGUUUCUGCUGGUUGCGAAGUGUGCUUCUGACACUCUGCUAUAUUUUUGGUGGAAUUACCCCAAGAGAGGGUUAUUUUGAGUCGAACUACCCAAUAGAAUCCCAACAAUUCCAAUCCCAUUCUGCCACUCAGGAGGAUACAAAUCAAGCCCUCCUGACAGACGGCCAUCCAUCAUCUUUUUUAAAAUCUCCAUAAAGGGGCCCACUGGACUCCCCGGCAGCAUAUGCAUAAGUUCUUCCAUUAGUCUCAUUUUGCACUGAAAAAAGUUUUGAACGAUGAGUUAACAAUCCAGUGGACUCUCUAGGUCUCCUCUAUCCAGGAAUAACAACAACAUUUAUUUAUUUGUUUAUUUACAGUAUUUAUAUUCCACCUUUUUCACCCCGAAGGGGACUCAGGGUGGAUCACAAUGCACAUAUACAUGGCAAACAUUCAGUGCCAUUAGACAUACGACAUAUAUAGACAGACACAGAGGCAAUUUAACAUUCCAGCUUCUGGCUUCAUGAGGGUAUGCUUGAUUCUGGCCACGGGGGAGCUGCCGCUUCAAAGUCCACUUGUGACACUGAGUCCUUGAUGGAAUACUUCCUCAUUCUUCUGCACACUGCUGGAAGGUUUUUUAUGGUGUUGUAAAUUAGUUAAAUUAGCCUCCCCACAUAAAACGGUACCUAAAUUUCCUACUCAACAGAUGCAACUAUCUUUCAGACUGCAUAGGUCAACAGCAAGCUAGACUAUUAAUGGUCAGGAGCUCACUCCAACUCGGGCUGGUUUCGAACUCAUGACCUCUCGGUCAGUGGUGAUUUAUUGCAGCUGGCUACUAACCAGCUGCACCACAGCCCGGUCCUUAGAUUUUUGUGGGUGCACCUAUAUUAUGGAGUGAAUGCAAUUUGACCCUACUGUAGCUGCCAUGGCUCAAUGCUAUAGAUUCGUAGUUUUACAAUGGCUUUAGCAAAGAGUGCAAACUACCGUUCCCAGGACUGCACAGCAUUGGACCGGAACAGUUCUGCAUUCAUUCUAUAAUGUAGAUGCACCAUUUGGAGUUUUUUGUUUUGUUUUUAGGAUGCAAUAGUGCUUGGGAAGCAUUUAUUCUGAGUUUAUGCAUCUUCCUUGCCUUUUCUGGGUGUGUUUUGCUGCUUUCUCCCUGAAGCGGAGGCACCUGUUUGUCUCGGCAGGUUGAUAAAUGCGAGUUCAUAAAUUACGGGCCGAAGCAAAGCUCUUUAGCUCGCCUGACAAUUAAGCAAUGUCCUGAUAAGCUUCCCUUCAAUGAAAUCGCCUCUGUUUCCCCUGCAAAGGCAUAUUUCUCCACAAUGCAAGCCCCCCUCUCUUCCCAAGGCUCAGUUAAUUAAAUGCGGCCCUUGCAAUCGUCCCCAAACAAGCUGUUUUAUGCAAACCGAUAAGAUGGGCUCCGUUUCAUAAUGCUGGGCAAAUACUUGGUUUUUAAGCCCCUGCCAUCCAUUUCCAAGGCUCCAGCAUCUCCUUCCCAUCAAGUGCAAAACUACAAGUAGAAACAUCUCCAAAAAAAGUAACAGUUUCAAUCUAUUCGGAGUGUCUUAAAAACGGCACCCGUCUGUUAUUGUGGCUCAAAAAUACAUUGCAAAACGUUUCCGCUUGGACUGUUUUGCAAGACAACAUUGGUAGAUCAAAGCUAAAAUGGUGGUGCUCCUUUUAAAAGGUAGUAUAUUUACCCUCUUUUCUUCAACAUCUUCUAUCCAGCUGGAGGUUUUUUAGCAGCAUUAGCAUUGAGAAGAUGAGCGAGAAAAGCUGGAGCAAAAACAAUGCACCAAAGGAAAAUUGAGUUUGGAAGAAAAGGCGUAUUUAUUCUAACCAAUGUAUGCAACUGUCUCCAAAAAUCAGUUCCUGAGCAUGGGAAAAAAUUGGGAGAAAAUAGAAUGC